rnacentral:rRNA from 1 species
CAGUCGCCGCGGUAAUACGUAGGGUGCAAGCGUUAAUCGGAAUUACUGGGCGUAAAGCGUGCGCAGGCGGUUCUAUAAGACAGAUGUGAAAUCCCCGGGCUCAACCUGGGAACUGCAUUUGUGACUGUAGAGCUGGAGUGCGGCAGAGGGGGAUGGAAUUCCGCGUGUAGCAGUGAAAUGCGUAGAUAUGCGGAGGAACACCGAUGGCGAAGGCAAUCCCCUGGGCCUGCACUGACGCUCAUGCACGAAAGCGUGGGGAGCAAACAGGAUUAGAUACCCCCGUAGUCCCUGUCUCUUAUAA